GACGAACGCUGGCGGCGUGCUUAACACAUGCAAGUCGAACGGAAAGGCCCUGCUUUUGCGGGGUGCUCGAGUGGCGAACGGGUGAGUAACACGUGAGUAACCUGCCCUUGACUUUGGGAUAACUUCAGGAAACUGGGGCUAAUACCGGAUAGGAGCUCCUGCUGCAUGGUGGGGGUUGGAAAGUUUCGGCGGUUGGGGAUGGACUCGCGGCUUAUCAGCUUGUUGGUGGGGUAGUGGCUUACCAAGGCUUUGACGGGUAGCCGGCCUGAGAGGGUGACCGGCCACAUUGGGACUGAGAUACGGCCCAGACUCCUACGGGAGGCAGCAGUGGGGAAUAUUGCACAAUGGGCGGAAGCCUGAUGCAGCAACGCCGCGUUCGGGAUGACGGCCUUCGGGUUGUAAACCGCUUUCGCCUGUGACGAAGCGUGAGUGACGGUAAUGGGUAAAGAAGCACCGGCUAACUACGUG
rnacentral:rRNA from 1 species